rnacentral:rRNA from 1 species
GAUGAACGCUAGCGGCAGGCCUAACACAUGCAAGUCGAGGGAGAGGUUAUCUUCGGGUAACCAAAACCGGCGCACGGGUGCGUAACGCGUAUACAAUCUGCCUUUCACAUAGGGAUAGCCCGAAGAAAUUUGGAUUAAUACCUAAUGGUAUAUAGGAGCGGCAUCGUUUUUAUAUUAAAGCUACGGUGGUGAAAGAUGAGUAUGCGUUCUAUUAGCUAGUUGGAGAGGUAACGGCUCCCCAAGGCGACGAUAGAUAGGGGUUCUGAGAGGGAUGUCCCCCACACUGGUACUGAGAUACGGACCAGACUCCUACGGGAGGCAGCAGUGAGGAAUAUUGGACAAUGGUCGGAAGACUGAUCCAGCCAUGCCGCGUGCAGGAUGAAGGUCCUAUGGAUUGUAAACUGCUUUUGUAAGGGAAGAAUAAGGAGUACGUGUACUUUGAUGACGGUACCUUACGAAUAAGCAUCGGCUAAUUCCGUGCCAGCAGCCGCGGUAAUACGGAGGAUGCGAGCGUUAUCCGGAAUCAUUGGGUUUAAAGGGUCCGUAGGCGGGCUGAUAAGUCAGAGGUGAAAGCGCUUAGCUCAACUAAGCAACUGCCUUUGAAACUGUCAGUCUUGAAUGAUUGUGAAGUAGUUGGAAUGUGUAGUGUAGCGGUGAAAUGCUUAGAUAUUACACAGAACACCGAUAGCGAAGGCAUAUUACUAACAAUUUAUUGACGCUGAUGGACGAAAGCGUGGGGAGCGAACAGG